AUUGAACGCUGGCGGCAGGCCUAACACAUGCAAGUCGAACGAGUGGCGGACGGGUGAGUAAUGUCUGGGAAACUGCCCGAUGGAGGGGGAUAAAUAAUGGAAACGGUAGCUAAUACCGCAUACCAUCGGAUGUGCCCAGAGGGGAUUAGCUAGUAGGUGGGGUAACGGCUCACCGAGGCGACGAGCCCGAGCUGGUCUGAGAGGCUGAGCAGGGACACGGGAACGUAUACACGUUCCAGACUCCUACGGGAGGCAGCAGUGGGGAAUAUUGCACAAUGGGCGCAAGCCUGAUGCAGCCAUGCCGCGUGUAUGAAGAGGGCCUUCGGGUUGUAAAGUUCUUUCAGCGAUGAGGCGUUACUCGCAGAAGAAUCCCCGGCUAACUCCGUGCCAGCAGCCGCGGUAAUAC
rnacentral:rRNA from 1 species